AUGUACGCUGGCGGCGUGCCUCAUACAUGCAAGUCGAGCGAACAGACGAGGAGCUUGCUCCUCUGACGUUAGCGGCGGACGGGUGAGUAACACGUGGAUAACCUACCUAUAAGACUGGGAUAACUUCGGGAAACCGGAGCUAAUACCGGAUAAUAUAUUGAACCGCAUGGUUCAAUAGUGAAAGACGGUUUUGCUGUCACUUAUAGAUGGAUCCGCGCCGCAUUAGCUAGUUGGUAAGGUAACGGCUUACCAAGGCAACGAUGCGUAGCCGACCUGAGAGGGUGAUCGGCCACACUGGAACUGAGACACGGUCCAGACUCCUACGGGAGGCAGCAGUAGGGAAUCUUCCGCAAUGGGCGAAAGCCUGACGGAGCAACGCCGCGUGAGUGAUGAAGGUCUUCGGAUCGUAAAACUCUGUUAUUAGGGAAGAACAAAUGUGUAAGUAACUAUGCACGUCUUGACGGUACCUAAUCAGAAAGCCACGGCUAACUACGUG
rnacentral:rRNA from 1 species